CUGCAGUUCUUUCUAUUUAUUCUAGAUUUGGAGUUGAUAAUCUCUCCUGCUUUCCAGCUGUUUGACUAUUCUCCUGGGGGAUGCAUUCUUUCCUGCAGCUGAGAACUCAUCUGAUUCCAGUGCCAUUUUCAAACUACGUGGUGCCAUCAUGACUGAAGAGUACUUGCAAUCCUGUGUAUGGAAUGAGAGUAAAGCAGAUCCUGUGGUGUGUUAGCUAAGGUAACAUACACAGUUAUCCAUGUCACUUAUUAUUUCUCUUGUGAAGCAUCUGCCAACCAUUCCACUGUCCAUUAGGCUACAUUUCCGCUGAGGUACCUGGUUCACAUUCUAGGACAGUUUCUUCAUCAUAAUCAUUGUCAUCGGCAUCAUUAUUACAUUAGCCACAUUAGGCUCUUUCCAGACCGUAGACGAAAGUGUGAUCCCUUCUUUGAGGAGCUCACAGCCAAAGAGAGACAAGUAAAUUGAGAGUCAGGCGAAGUGGAACAUCAACCUGUGUUGCCAACUCUCAUGAUUUCAUUGUGAGUCUUGCAAUAUUUGGCGCUUUUGUUUAAGCCCCAGCUGCUGGAAUCAAGCAAUUGCAGAAGAAAGGCAUAAUGAGAUCUGAUAGAUGGUGCCUAAAGCUAGAAGAAUCCAGGCUAGAAAUGUUUUUAACAGCUAAGGCAAUUGACCAUUGGAACAAGUUAGCAAGGGUUGUGGUGGAUUCUUCAUCACUUGCCGUCUCUAUAUCAAGACUGGGCUAACUUUCUAAAAGAUAUGGUAUAGCUGAAACCAAAGUUAUGGGCAUGAUGCAAAAAUUAGUGGGUGAGGUUCUUUGGCUUAUAUUAUGCUGGAGGCCAGACUAGAUUAUCAUAAUCAUGGAAUCAUAGAAAUGUAGUGCUGAAAGGGGCCUCAAGAUGUCAUCUAGUCCAUCCCCCUGCACUGAGGCAAGAUUAAGUAUACCUAGACCAUCCCCAAAAUGGUUCCUCUGUCCUUUGAUUCUCAGCUUUCAUUUAAAAACCAAAAAAUAUGUUUCCCAGUUUCUAGCCCUCCUCUUUGUGGGGAAGUAUGAGAAUGCGACUGUAAUGUUCCAUAAAGCCUCAGAACCCAGAAGGCCAAGGAAAAAUAGCCAUAAUUAUUUUUUUAAAACACAAUCUCAAAGACAAUCUCAUGAUUUUUGUUGGGCCUGAAUCCAGAUUUGUGACUGCCUAGGCUUGCAGUGCAGAGUUACCCUUCUGACGAUUUGUUGACACAUGUGAAUGAAUAUAGGAAGGAGAAUGGCUUUGUGGAAGGACCUGCCUGGCCCUCUGCUCCCUGCAUUGCAUCCCCUCCUGAAGAUCUCGUCUCUAUCCUGGUGUGACGUUAUUGACUUGCACUAGGACCGUAUAGAACAUUGUUGCAACCAAGGUCCUGUAGUGGCACCAAAUCUUGUAUAAAGGGGGUCAAAUAAGGUGUCUAAGAUGAGGUUAUGGUUUGUUGGGUAUGAUUAUGCUAUCUGUUUUCAUGUAUCAUUUUUGUAUUUAAAGAUAUAAGUAUUGGCUCUAUACUGUCUAUGUUUCAAACUUAUGCUAUGCUUCUGGGUGACACCCCAGACAAGUUGGGGUCAGCUCUGCCUAGCCUGCUGGAUGGCCCAUUAAGGACCAUCAGCUAUACAACUGACCCAUUGAGAGUAGGCAGACACGCCUUGCGACUCAGCAAGGUAUGCAGGGACCUGCCUAUGGACAGAACUCUGAGGUUUUUCCAGGCCAUGUGAUGGACAGCUUGUCUUUUGGACAAAGAAAGAAAAACCACAUGGCAAGAGAAUAUAAAAAGCUGCUGCAGCUCCUCCAUCUGGUCUUCAAUCCUGCUUCUUACCUCUGGAGGAACUUUGCUACACUGAAGCUUUGAACAAAGGACUGAUGACCCAUCUCAGCUGUGGAUGUUCUCCAGAGACUUGAUUUGAACCUGCAGUUUAUUCUAUCACUGCUGCAAGCCUGAACCAAGAACUUUGCCAUUACUGUAUGUAAUUGAUUCCAUUUACCCAAUUCUAGCUCUCAUCUAUAUCUAUUUCCUUUUAUGA